GGGGAAUAUUGCCCAAUGGGGGCAAGCCUGAUGCAGCCAUGCCGCGUGUAUGAAGAAGGCCUUCGGGUUGUAAAGUACUUUCAGUCGUGAGGAAGGUUCAUGCGUUAAUAGCGUAUGGAUUUGACGUUAGCGACAGAAGAAGCACCGGCUAACUCCGUGCCAGCAGCCGCGGUAAUACGGAGGGUGCGAGCGUUAAUCGGAAUUACUGGGCGUAAAGCGCAUGCAGGUGGUUUGUUAAGUCAGAUGUGAAAGCCCGGGGCUCAACCUCGGAACUGCAUUUGAAACUGGCAAACUAGAGUACUGUAGAGGGGGGUAGAAUUUCAGGUGUAGCGGUGAAAUGCGUAGAGAUCUGAAGGAAUACCAGUGGCGAAGGCGGCCCCCUGGACAGAUACUGACACUCAGAUGCGAAAGCGUGGGGAGCAAACAGGAUUAGAUACCCUGGUAGUCCACGCCGUAAACGAUGUCUACUUGGAGGUUGUGGCCUUGAGCCGUGGCUUUCGGAGCUAACGCGUUAAGUAGACCGCCUGGGGAGUACGGUCGCAAGAUUAAAACUCAAAUGAAUUGACGGGGGCCCGCACAAGCGGUGGAGCAUGUGGUUUAAUUCGAUGCAACGCGAAGAACCUUACCUACUCUUGACAUCCAGAGAACUUAGCAGAGAUGCUUUGGUGCCUUCGGGAACUCUGAGACAGGUGCUGCAUGGCUGUCGUCAGCUCGUGUUGUGAAAUGUUGGGUUAAGUCCCGCAACGAGCGCAACCCUUAUCCUUGUUUGCCAGCGAGUAAUGUCGGGAACUCCAGGGAGACUGCCGGUGAUAAACCGGAGGAAGGUGGGGACGACGUCAAGUCAUCAUGGCCCUUACGAGUAGGGCUACACACGUGCUACAAUGGCGCAUACAGAGGGCAGCCAACUCGCGAGAGUGAGCGAAUCCCAAAAAGUGCGUCGUAGUCCGGAUUGGAGUCUGCAACUCGACUCCAUGAAGUCGGAAUCGCUAGUAAUCGUAGAUCAGAAUGCUACGGUGAAUACGUUCCCGGGCCUUGUACACACCGCCCGUCACACCACGGGAGUGGGCUGCAAAAGAAGUGGGUAGUUUAACCUUUCGGGGAGGACGCUCA
rnacentral:rRNA from 2 species